GCUAGCUGGCUGACUGACUGACUGACUGACUGACUGGCCUCGGAUUAGUCGUGAGUACCCGCUGAACUUAAGCAUAUCAAUAAGCGGAGGAAGAAACUAA
rnacentral:rRNA from 1 species